rnacentral:pre_miRNA from 1 species
CAAAGAAUUCUCCUUUUGGGCUUUCUAUGCUUGGUCACAGCCCAAAGGUGAAUUUUUUGGG